rnacentral:rRNA from 1 species
GAGCCGGUAACAGGCGUAGCAAUACGUGCUGACGAGCGGCGAACGGGUGAGUAAUGCUUCGGAAUCUACCCAGUAGUGGGGAAUAACCAUCCGAAAGGGUGGCUAAUACCGCAUACGUCCUACGGGAGAAAGCGGGGGAUCGUAAGACCUCGCGUUAUUGGAUGAGCCGAAGCCGGAUUAGCUAGUUGGUAGGGUAACGGCCUACCAAGGCGACGAUCCGUAGCUGGUCUGAGAGGACGACCAGCCACACUGGGACUGAGACACGGCCCAGACUCCUACGGGAGGCAGCAGUGGGGAAUAUUGGACAAUGGGGGAAACCCUGAUCCAGCGACGCCGCGUGUGUGAAGAAGGCCUGCGGGUUGUAAAGCACUUUUAGUGGGGAUGAAAAGCCUUGGGAUAACACCCCAGGGUCUUGACCUAACCCACAGAAAAAGCACCGGCUAACUCUGUGCCAGCAGCCGCGGUAAUACAGAGGGUGCGAGCGUUAAUCGGAAUUACUGGGCGUAAAGCGUGCGUAGACGGUCAUGUAAGUCGGGUGUGAAAGCCCCGGGCUCAACCUGGGAAUUGCAUUCGAGACUGCACGGCUUGGGUGCGGAAGAGGGAAGCGGAAUUUCCGGUGUAGCGGUGAAAUGCGUAGAUAUCGGAAGGAACACCAGUGGCGAAAGCGGCUUCCUGGUCCGACACCGACGUUCAGGCACGAAAGCGUGGGGA